CACCAUGGUGAAGGAGCAGUUCCUGGAGACGGAUGUAGAUAAGAAAAUGAGAACGUGAAGCCCUUAGUUGCUCUGAGUUUGUUUAAGCUCAUCUCCACUGAAGAUGUCCCUUUACUUCUGAUGAACCCAGAAGAAGGAAAGCCCUCUGAUUUGAUUCUCACCCGACUUUUGGUGCCUCCCUUGUGUAUCAGACACUUUGUUGUGACUGAUUUGAAGUCUGGAACCAAUGAAGAAGACCUGACAAUGAAACUGACAGAGAUCAAUUUCCUCAAUGAUGUUAUUAAAAAGCACUGGAUCUUGGGAGCCAAGAUGCAGAUGACCAUGGAGGACUAGACUUCCUGCAGCUGCAGUGUGCCCUCUCCAUCAACAGUGAGCUAUCUGGCAUCCCCCUCAACAUGGCCCCCAAAAGUGGAUACAAGGCUUUGUCCAGUGCCUGAAAGGCAAGGUUCCUGACAAGAUCAACCAUUGUUACCUGCUGAGGGAGUAUAUGUCUGUUCAGAUCCCCAGAAACAGCACAGGGUGUGUCAUGGAACCUAUGGUGUUUUUUGAUUUAUUUAGAUUGAUUUAGAGGUAAUCUGUCAGGGAAGAGGGUGGAUUUUUCAGGCCAGUCAUCUCACCUGAUCCCAACGUCCGGAUUGAUGAAGUAGCUGUGCCAGGCCAUGUGGCCAAAACUCUAACUUUUCCUGAUAAGGUAAAUACCAUUCAGCUGCCUAUUUCUUUGUUUCCUAUCCAGAGUUUCCAUUUUGAUACUUCAUGCUACAUAUAGAGGCAAGACCCCAGAAACCCACACAGCUUUCUGAAAAUAUCUCAUUUCACUUAGUUUAUGGUUUUUUUUAAAAUGAGUGCUCUGACUGCAUGUACAUCUUCAUGCCAGAAGGGGACAUUAGAACCCAUUAUAGGUGGUUGUGAGC